rnacentral:misc_RNA from 1 species
UUUUUUCCUUGAUUUUGAAUUAAAUGAUUGUGAUAUUUUAUAAGGUGCACAAUAAAGAAAAUAAAGAGAAAUUCGAGCAUCAGUUUCUUAGUACUAAAAAGAUAAGUAGGAGUGUAAAAGAACGAAGCUGCUAGAGACCUAACUCAAUAAAAUCUAAUGAGCCUAGCCUGAGCUCUUCUAAUCUAAAGAAUCCAAAGGAGGCAGCCCUCAACAGCAUAUCUGUAGUGUUGAUAAUAUUGCAAAUCUCCACCCAAAAGCAUCAUCAAAUUUUUCUCACAGAUACAAAACCUCAUUUUUUAAGUUCCAAGUCUG